UUUUUUCCUCAUGAUUUACUUUUGCCAGUUUUACUAACAUAUGCCUUAGAGAAGAUCUUUAUACAUUGAUGUAAUUAGGAGUUCUAUCACCUUCAUUUACAUG